rnacentral:rRNA from 1 species
UACGAAGGGGGCUAGCGUUGCUCGGAAUCACUGGGCGUAAAGGGUGCGUAGGCGGGUCUUUAAGUCCGGGGUGAAAUCCUGGAGCUCAACUCCAGAACUGCCUUUGAUACUGAAGAUCUUGAGUUCGGGAGAGGUGAGUGGAACUGCGAGUGUAGAGGUGAAAUUCGUAGAUAUUCGGAAGAACACCAGUGGCGAAGGCGACUUACUGGACACAUAUUGACGCUGAGGUGCGAAAGCGUGGGGAGCAAACAGG